GCAGCACGCAAAUUACCCACUCUUAGAACGAGGAGGUAGUGACGAAACAUACCGGUACGGGACUCUUAGGAGGCCCCGUAAUCGGAAUGAGUACGAUCUUAAUUCUCUAACGAGGAUCAAGUGGAGGGCAAGUCUGGUGCCAGCAGCCGCGGUAAUUCCAGCUCCAUUAGCGUAAGCUAAUGUUGUUGCGGUUAAAAAGCUCGUAGUUGGAUCUCGACUCAUGUCAGAGGGUCCACCUUUCGGUGGUUACUUUCUGGCUGAGUUACCUACGGAUUUGUCUCUUGAUUCUCUUAACCGAGUGUCUUGAGCGAUCUGUUCGUUUACUUUGAACAAAUUAGAGUGCUUACAGCAGGCAUUCGCCCGAAUAAUCUUGCAUGGAAUAAUGGAACAGGACUUCGGUUCUGUUCUGUUGGUCUUCGGAUCCGAAGUAAUGAUUAAGAGGGACAGACGGGGGCAUUAGUAUUGCGGCGCUAGAGGUGAAAUUCUUGGACCGUCGCAAGACUAACAACAGCGAAAGCAUUUGCCAAGAAUGUUUUCAUUAAUCAAGAACGAAAGUUAGAGGUUCGAAGGCGAUCAGAUACCGCCCUAGUUCUAACCAUAAACGAUGCUAACCAGCGAUCAGCCUGAGAAGUAACAACGACUCGGCUGGAAGCUUCUCCGGGAAACCAAAGUAUUUGGGUUCCGGGGGAAGUAUGGUUGCAAAACUGAAACUUAAAGGAAUUGACGGAAGGGCACCACCAGGAGUGGAGCCUGCGGCUUAAUUUGACUCAACACGGGGAAACUUACCCGGCCCGGACACUUUAAGGAUUGACGGAUUGAGAGCUCUUUCUUGAUAUAGUGGGUGGUGGUGCAUGGCCGUUCUUAGUUGGUGGAACGAUUUGUCUGGUUAAUUCCGAUAACGAACGAGAUUCAAACUUAUUAAAUAGUGCACUAUCUCCUUCGGGCGAUAGGACACUUCUUAGAGGGACAGGCGGCGAUUCAGCCGCACGAAAAAGAGCAAUAACAGGUCUGUGAUGCCCUUAGAUGUCCGGGGCCGCACGCGCGCUACACUGAAGAGUGCAGCGUGCGUGGGUUUCCUGCUCCGAAAGGAGUAGGUAACCACGGUAAAUCUCUUCGUACUUGGGAUAGGGCAUUGUAACUAUACCCUUGAACGAGGAAUUCCCAGUAAGCGUGAGUCAACAGCUAGCGUUGAUUACGUCCCUGCCCUUUGUACACACCGCCCGUCGCUACUACCGAUUGAAUGAUUUAGUGAGGUCUUCAGAUUGAGCGAGGCUUCUCUUCGGAGAGGCUUUGAAUGAGAAGAAGAUCGAACUUGAUCAUUUAGAGGAAGUA
rnacentral:rRNA from 1 species